UACAGGGGGUGCGAGCGUUAAUCGGAGUUACUGGGUGUAAAGGGCGCGUAGGCGGUGAGAUGUGUGUGAUGUGAAAGCCCCGGGCUUAACCUGGGAAGUGCAUUGCAAACUAUCUGACUAGAGUAUAUGAGAGGGUGGCGGAAUUUCCGGUGUAGCGGUGAAAUGCGUAGAGAUCGGAAGGAACGUCAAUGGCGAAGGCAGCCACCUGGCAUAAUACUGACGCUGAGGCGCGAAAGCGUGGGGAGCGAACAGG
rnacentral:rRNA from 1 species